rnacentral:rRNA from 1 species
UACAGAGGUCCCAAGCGUUGUUCGGAUUCACUGGGCGUAAAGGGUGCGUAGGCGGUCGGGUAAGUCUGAUGUGAAAUCUCACAGCUUAACUGUGAAACUGCAUUGGAUACUAUUCGGCUUGAGAGUUGGAGGGGGGACUGGAAUUCUUGGUGUAGCAGUGAAAUGCGUAGGUAUCAAGAGGAACACCAGUGGCGAAGGCGAGUCCCUGGACAACUUCUGACGCUGAGGCACGAAAGCUAGGGGAGCAAACAGG